rnacentral:rRNA from 1 species
CCUACGGGAGGCAGCAGUGGGGAAUAUUGGACAAUGGGGGCAACCCUGAUCCAGCAAUGCCGCGUGUGUGAUGAAGGCCUUAGGGUUGUAAAGCACUUUCACUGGUGAAGAUGAUGACGGUAACCAGAGAAGAAGCCCCGGCUAACUUCGUGCCAGCAGCCGCGGUAAUACGAAGGGGGCGAGCGUUGUUCGGAAUUACUGGGCGUAAAGGGCGCGUAGGCGGCUCUUUAAGUUAGGCGUGAAAUCCCCGGGCUCAACCUGGGAACUGCGCUUAAGACUGGAGAGCUAGAAAACGGAAGAGGGUAGUGGAAUUCCCAGUGUAGAGGUGAAAUUCGUAGAUAUUGGGAAGAACACCAGUGGCGAAAGCGGCUACCUGGUCCGGAUUUGACGCUGAGGCGCGAAAGCGUGGGGAGCAAACAGGAUUAGAUACCCUGGUAGUCCACGCCGUAAACGAUGUCUGCUAGAUGUCGGGGGGUUGCCCCUCGGUGUCGCCGCUAAC